GCUGGCGUGGCACAGGUGGUAGCGCACCUCAUUGGUAGUGAGGAGGUCACGAGUUCAACUCUCGUCGCUAGCU
rnacentral:tRNA from 4 species